GCUCAGGACGAACGCUGGCGGCGUGCCUAAUACAUGCAAGUCGAACGAACUCUGGUAUUGAUUGGUGCUUGCAUCAUGAUUUACAUUUGAGUGAGUGGCGAACUGGUGAGUAACACGUGGGAAACCUGCCCAGAAGCGGGGGAUAACACCUGGAAACAGAUGCUAAUACCGCAUAACAACUUGGACCGCAUGGUCCGAGUUUGAAAGAUGGCUUCGGCUAUCACUUUUGGAUGGUCCCGCGGCGUAUUAGCUAGAUGGUGGGGUAACGGCUCACCAUGGCAAUGAUACGUAGCCGACCUGAGAGGGUAAUCGGCCACAUUGGGACUGAGACACGGCCCAAACUCCUACGGGAGGCAGCAGUAGGGAAUCUUCCACAAUGGACGAAAGUCUGAUGGAGCAACGCCGCGUGAGUGAAGAAGGGUUUCGGCUCGUAAAACUCUGUUGUUAAAGAAGAACAUAUCUGAGAGUAACUGUUCAGGUAUUGACGGUAUUUAACCAGAAAGCCACGGCUAACUACGUGCCAGCAGCCGCGGUAAUACGUAGGUGGCAAGCGUUGUCCGGAUUUAUUGGGCGUAAAGCGAGCGCAGGCGGUUUUUUAAGUCUGAUGUGAAAGCCUUCGGCUCAACCGAAGAAGUGCAUCGGAAACUGGGAAACUUGAGUGCAGAAGAGGACAGUGGAACUNCCAUGUGUAGCGGUGAAAUGCGUAGAUANAUGGAAGAACACCAGUGGCGAAGGCGGCUGUCUGGUCUGUAACUGACGCUGAGC
rnacentral:rRNA from 2 species